CGGCCAGCUCUGAUGAUCUGCCCUCCCUGAGGGAUCCUGUACUGAGCUGCCCCGAGGCCCUUCAUUGUGCCCAGCUCGGGGCAGCUCAGUACAGGAUGCAUCGGGGUGGGAGUCGGCCGGGAGCGAG
ensembl:miRNA MIR486-1 microRNA 486-1